rnacentral:rRNA from 1 species
GUUCGGAUUGUAGGCUGCAACUCGCCUACAUGAAGUCGGAAUUGCUAGUAAUCGCGGAUCAGCAUGCCGCGGUGAAUACGUUCCCGGGCCUUGUACACACCGCCCGUCACACCAUGGGAGUUUGUAACACCCGAAGUCAGUAUCCUAACCGCAAGGGGGGAGCUGCCGAAGGUGGGAUAAGCGACUGGGGUGAAGUCGUAACAAGGUACC